GUGCUCGCUUUGGCAGCACAUAUACUAAAAUUGGAAUGAUACAGAGAAGAUUAGCAUAGGCCCUGUGCAAAGAUGAUAUGCAAAUUCAUGAAGCAUUCCACAUAUUU